rnacentral:rRNA from 1 species
UACGAAGGGGGCUAGCGUUGUUCGGAAUUACUGGGCGUAAAGCGCGCGCAGGCGGUUUUCCAAGUCAGUGGUGAAAGCCCGGAGCUCAACUCCGGAAUUGCCAUUGAAACUGCAAAACUUGAGUACGAGAGAGGUGAGUGGAAUUCCUAGUGUAGAGGUGAAAUUCGUAGAUAUUGGGAGGAACACCAGUGGCGAAGGCGGCUACCUGGACCGGUUCUGACGCUGAGGCGCGAAAGCGUGGGUAGCAAACAGG